rnacentral:rRNA from 1 species
GACGAACCGUCCAAACGUUAUUCGGAAUCACUGGGCUUACAGAGUUCGUAGGCGGUCUGGAAAGUUGGGUGUGAAAUCCCUCGGCCUAACCGAGGAACUGCGCUUGAAACUACCAGACUCGAGGGAGAUAGAGGAAAGCGGAACUGAUGGUGGAGCGGUGAAAUGCGUUGAUAUCAUCAGGAACACCGGUGGCGAAGGCGGCUUGCUGGGCGUGAUCUGACGCUGAGGCGCGAAAGCGUGGGGAGCGAACAGG